rnacentral:rRNA from 1 species
ACGAACGCUGGCGGCGUGCUUAACACAUGCACGUCGAACGGAAAGGCCCUGCUUUUGUGGGGUGCUCGAGUGGCGAACGGGUGAGUAACACGUAAGUAACCUGCCCUUAACUUUGGGAUAACUUCAGGAAACUGGGGCUAAUACCGGAUAGGAGCUCCUGCUGCAUGGUGGGGGUUGGAAAGUUUCGGCGGUUGGGGAUGGACUCGCGGCUUAUCAGCUUGUUGGUGGGGUAGUGGCUUACCAAGGCUUUGACGGGUAGCCGGCCUGAGAGGGUGACCGGCCACAUUGGGACUGAGAUACGGCCCAGACUCCUACGGGAGGCAGCAGUGGGGAAUAUUGCACAAUGGGCGGAAGCCUGAUGCAGCAACGCCGCGUGCGGGAUGACGGCCUUCGGGUUGUAAACCGCUUUCGCCUGUGACGAAGCGUGAGUGACGGUAAUGGGUAAAGAAGCACCGGCUAACUACGUG